AUUGAACGCUGGCGGCAGGCCUAACACAUGCCAGUCGAGCGGAUGAAGGGAGCUUGCUCCUGGAUUCAGCGGCGGACGGGUGAGUAAUGCCUAGGAAUCUGCCUGGUAGUGGGGGAUAACGUCCGGAAACGGGCGCUAAUACCGCAUACGUCCUGAGGGAGAAAGUGGGGGAUCUUCGGACCUCACGCUAUCAGAUGAGCCUAGGUCGGAUUAGCUAGUUGGUGGGGUAAAGGCCUACCAAAGCGACGAUCCGUAACUGGUCUGAGAGGAUGAUCAGUCACACUGGAACUGAGACACGGUCCAGACUCCUACGGGAGGCAGCAGUGGGGAAUAUUGGACAAUGGGCGAAAGCCUGAUCCAGCCAUGCCGCGUGUGUGAAGAAGGUCUUCGGAUUGUAAAGCACUUUAAGUUGGGAGGAAGGGCAGUAAGUUAAUACCUUGCUGUUUUGACGUUACCAACAGAAUAAGCACCGGCUAACUUCGUG
rnacentral:rRNA from 1 species